CAGCAGCCGCGGUAACACGUAGGGUGCGAGCGUUAAUCGGAAUUACUGGGCGUAAAGCGUGCGCAGGCGGUUUUGUAAGACAGGCGUGAAAUCCCCGGGCUCAACCUGGGAAUGGCGCUUGUGACUGCAAAGCUAGAGUGCGGCAGAGGGGGAUGGAAUUCCGCGUGUAGCAGUGAAAUGCGUAGAUAUGCGGAGGAACACCGAUGGCGAAGGCAAUCCCCUGGGCCUGCACUGACGCUCAUGCACGAAAGCGUGGGGAGCAAACAGGAUUAGAUACCCCAGUAGUCCCUGUCUCUUAUAC
rnacentral:rRNA from 1 species